AAGCUUUAAAUUUUAUAAUUAAAGAUGAAAAUAUAUUUUAAGGCUAUCACAAAGAUUUCCAGUAUUGAAACCACAUCCCUCUCAACUUGGUUUCAUAGAUAUGCAUCAUGACUAAGAGAGAGAUUCUUCUAAGGAAUGGCAUCUACUGGUGCUUACCUGAGUGUUUUGGAAGCAUUAUAGAGUUUUUGGCUGAGCUCAUCAAUGGAACGAGAGAAAUGAUAAGUAUAUUUACAUAAAUGAAACAGGUUUUUUUGUUGAUCUCUCUUUUUUUUUUUUUUUUGCUCUCUUAAUUCUGUGUAAGAUAUUAUUGGCCCCGUUGCCCAUUGCUUGAAGCUUAUACCAUCAAAACCGCUAGAGUUGCCAAGGCUAAUCAUUGAUGAAUGGCCUUUAGAGCAUUAAAAUGAGUAAUUGCUUACUAGGUUAGAGCUUUUCUUUGUUUUCUCUUUUUUUUUCCUUUUGAAAUAUCUAUUAAUUUUUUUUGGAGUGGGAAAAAUCCUGAUUUUCUUUGUUGAUGGCAUAUAUGAUUUGAGCACUCUAAUUGUAUGAAUGAUACAUAUCGUAACAUUUUUAAAUGCUUAUAGUCAUCUUCAUAUAUUUUAUCAUCAUACCAAUGAAUAUUAUCUUAUAUUACGAAGAGAUUGGUUUCUCUAAAGGCCAUUCAUCAAUGAUUAGGCAACUCUUGCGGUUUUGAUGCUAUAGCUUCAAGCAAUGGGGCCAAAAAUAUCUUACAUAGUGGGAAAGAGAGGGAUUUGUUAACAUGGUGGGAACACGUGGCGGACUAAUAGGGGGAUGCUCCUCUCGCGUAAUAUAUAAUACCUACCUGAGUAUAGGAUAUUAAAAACAAACAAUAUCUUAAUACAUGUGCAGCCGUUCCCAAAGAGAUAUGACAUACGAAGCCAUUGCUUUAAACUGCCAGCUAGGACAAGUUGGACUUAAUUUGAAUUGAGACAUGAAACAAUUAUAUAAAGAUACAAGAAAAUAGACUGCCUUACCAGUUAUGGAUACCCCUUUAUAUACGAUACCUCCCUCAUGGCUGCCAAGCUAGCAUAUCUUCUUUUUCUAUCUUUUCUGUGACGUUAUUCAUCAGAGAUGUAGACAUGCUGUUCAAAGUGUUGGUAUGUGAAGUGAACAAAUGCACAAUUGGAUGCCCAAUGAGCAUUUAUUAAAUUUCAUCCGAGUGAUAGAGGGAUGUCUUUCCCUUUGCAUAGAUCAAACACAGGCUUAGAUUGUAGGUCAUCAAUUUUCUUCUCUAUAUGGAUAUUAAGCAUCACUUGACUUGGAUAUUGCACGUGGAAUGCACUAUAUUUUGAAUCCUGAUGAUCAAUUGUGAGUUUUCAGGGAUCUUUGGGUUGUUUAUCACGAGAUGCAUAUUUGGCUUUAGUUGUUAUGAUUGGAUAGCUUGUAAUGAUCUGAAUUGCAUUUCAGAGUACUCUAGUUGUCUGUAUUUUAUUAUUCUUGAAGUGCUCAAGAUGCUCCUAAUAUUUUGGCUCGGGGAGUUAGUAACUUUGAGCUAUCAUUUCACUUGGCUUGUGAAAGGGGGAAGCAUCCUGGCUGUGAGAUUCCGCAUUUGCUCAAUUACAAUGCAAACACAGAAUACGAGGAAGGGUGAAUGAAGUUCAAAGCAUUUCACAGACCCCAUGGUGUCAAUCUUCUGGAAAGAAGACUUAUUCUGGCUUUUGACAAGAUUGGUAGGGUCUGUCACGUCUACUUGACACGUGACCAUGCGAUUCUGCUUCACAAUCUUCUUAAUGGUGAUGUCAUCCAGGCCAUUGCGCAAUUCAAAAAGAUCCUUUUUGGCAGGAGGUUCGCUUUGAGGAUUACAGGAUUUCUAGUCAAAAUGAUGAUCGCAGUGCAUUGGCAGUGGACCUAGGACUGCUUCACCGGGCUCUACAGAGCAGUGUGAGCAUGGAUGGUGACAGGUUGCAGAUCAAGCUUGUCAAGAAGCGCGCCGUUGCCUCUGUACAACCGAUGCCUUUCCUCAAAUUUGAAAGCAAGGGGAGAGAAAAGGCAAAAGGAUAAAUAUAUGAUGAAUUGUUUAGAGAUGUACUAGUUCGAGCGUACUACACGCACUGGUCCAGUGAAAGCAUCCGCCAAAAUAGGAAGGAUAAACAAAAUCACCUACACCGCAAUUGUUUUUCCUGUGACCUGUGAAAUGGAUUGCUUGGGCAAUGUAGCUGAAAUGCGUGAUAUAGUUUUUCAAUUGGAUUUCCUGGCCUGAAUGCUCCUAUUCCACCUGGUGCUAGCUUUGGUUAUCGUCCUAGAGGUUGGAGCAAGCCUCUUGUUGGUGAAACAUGUGAGCAAUGUAGCUGAAAUGCGUGAUAUAGUUUUUCAAUUGGAUUUCUUGGCCCGAAUGCUCCUAUUCCACUUGGUGCUAGCUUUGGUUAUCAUCCUAGAGGUUGGGGCAAGCCUCUUGUUGAUAAAUUCAGACGCCCACUAUAUGGUGACGGUUUUGGUGUCCAACAACAAGAACAACCAAAUUAUGAGGAGGAACUUGUUGAUAACAGUAAGAAUUGGGAUGACUUGGAGGAAGAGGAGGAAUAAGAGGAGGAACAUAUGGAAGAAGAGGAAUUGGAGGCCGGUAUUCAAUCAGUUGCCAACCUCUCUCUCUCUCUCUCUCUCUUCU